CCUACGGGAGGCAGCAGUGGGGAAUUUUGGACAAUGGGCGCAAGCCUGAUCCAGCCAUGCCGCGUGCGGGAAGAAGGCCUUCGGGUUGUAAACCGCUUUUGUCAGGGAAGAAAAGGUUCUGGUUAAUACCUGGGACUCAUGACGGUACCUGAAGAAUAAGCACCGGCUAACUACGUGCCAGCAGCCGCGGUAAUACGUAGGGUGCAAGCGUUAAUCGGAAUUACUGGGCGUAAAGCGUGCGCAGGCGGUUAUGCAAGACAGAGGUGAAAUCCCCGGGCUCAACCUGGGAACUGCCUUUGUGACUGCAUAGCUAGAGUGCGGCAGAGGGGGAUGGAAUUCCGCGUGUAGCAGUGAAAUGCGUAGAUAUGCGGAGGAACACCGAUGGCGAAGGCAAUCCCCUGGGCCUGCACUGACGCUCAUGCACGAAAGCGUGGGGAGCAAACAGGAUUAGAUACCCUGGUAGUCCACGCCCUAAACGAUGUCAACUGGUUGUUGGGAGGGUUUCUUCUCAGUAACGUAGCUAACGCGUGAAGUUGACCGCCUGGGGAGUCGGCCGCAAGGUUGAAACUCAAAUGAAUUGACGGCGNGAGACGUGCGACGGACGACGACGAGGGAGGAGG
rnacentral:rRNA from 1 species